UCGGAAUACUGGGCGUAAAGCGCGCGUAGGCGGUUAUUUAAGUGAGGUGUGAAAUACCCUGGGCUCAACCUAGGAACUGCAUUUCAAACUGGAUAACUUGAGUAUGUCAGAGGGUAUUGGAAUUUCCCCGUGUAGCAGUGAAAAUGCGUAGAUAUGGGAAGGAACAUCAGUGGCGAAGGCGAAUACCUGGGAUAAUACUGACGCUGAGGUGCGAAAGCGUGGGGGAGCAAACGGGGAUUAGAUACCCCUGGUAG
rnacentral:rRNA from 1 species